AACUUUAACAACGGAUCUCUUGGCUCUAGCAUCGAUGAAGAACGCAGCGAAACGCGAUAUGUAGUGUGAAUUGCAGAAUUCAGUGAUCAUCGAAUCUUGAACGCACAUGGCGCCUUCCAGUAUCCUGGAGGCAUGCCUGUCCGAGCGUCGUUUCACCCUCGAGCCCCAGUGGCCCGGUGUGGGGAUCUACGUCUGUAGGCCCUUAAAGCAGUGGCGGACCCGCGUGCCCUUCCUUGCGUAGUAGUUACAGCUCGCAUCGGAGUCCCGCAGGCGCUUGCCUCUAAACCCCCUACAAGCCGCCUCGUGCGGCAACGGUUGACUCGGAUCAGGUAGGAAUACCCGCUGAACUUAAGCAUAUCAUAAGCGGAGGAAAAGAAACCAACAGGGAUUGCCUUAGUACGGCGAGUGAAGCGGCAACAGCUCAAAUUGAAAUCUGGCUCCUUCGGGUCCGAGUUGUAAUUUGCAGAGGAUGCUUCGAGUUAUGUUCCUUCCGAGUUCCCUGGAACGGGACGCCAUAGAGGGUGAGAGCCCGUCUGGUAGAAACCAUGCUCAUGUGAAGCUCCUCGACGAGUCGAGUAGUUUGGAAUGCUGCUCUAAGGGGGUAUACUCCUUCCAAGGCUAAUACCGGCUAGAGACCGAUAGCGCACAGUAGAGUGAUCGAAAGAUGAAAAGUACUUGAAAAGAGAGUCAACAGCACGUGAAAUUGUUAAAGGGAAGCGCUCGCUACCAGACGUGGGUUCGGUGGUCAACCAGGUCCAUGACCUGGGCACUCCGCCGGCCCAGGCCAGCAUCAGCUUCCGUCGGGGGCAAGGCGUCGGGAAUGUGGCUCUCCUUCGGGGAGUGUUAUAGCCCGUCGCGUCAUACCUUCGGGGGGCUGAGGUACGCGCUCCGCAAGGAUGCUGGCGUAAUGGUAGCUAGUGACCCGUCUGAAACACGGACCAAGGAGUCAACCUUAUGUGCGAGUGCCCGGGCGUAAACCCCAGCGCGGAAUGAAGUGAACGUAGGUGAGAGCUUCGGCGCAUCACCGACCGAUCCUGAUGUCCUCGGACGGAUUGAGUGAGAGCAUAUAGGGUUGGACCCGAAAGAAGAUGAACUAUGCGUGUGUAGGGUGAAGCCAGAGGAAACUCUGGUGGAGGCUCGCAGCGGUUCUGACGUGCAAAUCGAUCGUCAACAUGCGCAUGGGGCGAAAGACUAAUCGAAUCUUCUGGUAGCUGGUUCCGCCGAAGUUCCCUCAGGAUAGCAGUGUUGAUCCCAGUUUAUGAGGUAAAGCGAAUGAUUAGGGACUCGGGGCGCUAUUAGCCUUCAUCCAUUCUCAAACUUUAAAUAUGUAAGAAGUCCCGUUACUUUAUGAACGCGGACGCUGGAAUGAAACAACACUAGUGGGCCAUUUUGGUAAGCAGAACUGCGAUGCGGGAUGAACCGAACGCGAGGUUAAGGUGCCGGAGUGACGCUCAUCAGACACCACAAAAGGUGUUAGUACAUCUGACAGCAGGACGGUGGCCAUGGAAGUCGGAAUCCGCUAAGGACUGUGUAACAACUCACCUGCCGAAUGUACUAGCCCUGAAAUGGAUGGCGCUCAAGCGUCCCACCCAUACCUCGCCCUCGGCGCGGCUCGGCGCGUCGAGAGUAGGCGGACGUGGAGGUCGGUGACGAAGCUAGGACGUGAGUCCGGGUGGACGGCCUCUAGUGCAGAUCUUGGUGGUAGUAGCAAAUACUUCAUGAGACUUGAAGGACCGAAGUGGGGAAAGGUUCCAUGUGAACAGCGGUUGGACGUGGGUCAGUCGAUCCUAAGCUAUAGGGAAGUUCCGUUCAAAGGGGCGCUUUUGCCCGUAUAGCGAAAGGGAAGCUGGUUAAUAUCCAGCACCUGGAUGUGGGUUUGCGCGGCAACGCAACCGAACGCGAGACGACGGCGGGGGCCCCGGGAAGAGUUCUCUUUCUUCUUACGAUCUAUCACCCUGGAAUCGGUUUGUCCGGAGAUAGGGUUCAACGGUCGGAAGAGCCAGCGCUUCUGCUGGGUCCGGUGCGUCCUCGACGUCCCUGAAAAUCGCGGGAGGGAAUAAUUCUCACGCAGGUCGUACUCAUAACCGCAGCAGGUCUCCAAGGUGAACAGCUCUGGUUGAUAGAACAAUGUGGAUAAGGGAAGUCGGCAAACAGAUCCGUAACUUCGGAAAAGGAUUGGCUCUAAGGAUCGGGCGCGUUGGGCCUUGAAUAGACGGUUCGGCGGCGGGAGGUCACUAGCUGGGCACCAGCCGGAGCUCCCUGCUGCUUAGCUCGACGCUCUUGGCAGGCUUCGGCGUCCGGCGCGCGUUUAACGAUCAACUUAGAACUGGCGCGGACAGGGGGAAUCUGACUGUCUAAUUAAACAUAGCAUUGCGAUGGCCAGAAAGUGGUGUGACGCAAUGUGAUUUCUGCCCAGUGCUCUGAAUGUCAAGUGAAGUAAUUCACCAAGCGCGGGUAAACGGCGGGAGUACUAUGACUCUCUUAAGGUAGCCAAAUGCCUCGUCAUCUAUUAGUGACGCGCAUGAAUGGAUCACGAGAUUCCCACUGUCCUAUCUACUAUCUAGCGAAACCACAGCAAGGGAACGGGCUUGGCAGAAUCAGCGGGAAAGAAGACCCUGUUGAGCUUGACUCUAGUUUGACAUUGUGAAAAGACAUGGGAGGUGUAGAAUAGGUGGGAGCUCCGGCGCCAGUGAAUACCACUACUCCCAUUGUUUUUUACUUAUCCGGUGGAGCGGGGCUGGACUUACGUCCAACUUCUAGUGUUAAGGUCCUUCGCGGGCCGACCCGGGUCGGAGACAUUGUCAGGUGGGGAGUUUGGCUGGGCGGCACAUCUGUUAACCAUAACGCAGGUGUCCUAAGGGGGGCUCAUGGAGAACAGAAUCUCCAGUAGAACAAAAGGUAAAAGUCCCCUUGAUUUUGAUUUCAGUGUGAAUACAAACCAUGAAGUGUGGCCUAUCGAUCCUUUAGUCCCUCGGAGUUGAGGCUAGAGGUGCCAGAAAAGUUACACAGGGAUAACUGGCUUGUGCGGCCAAGCGUUCAUAGCGACGUCGCUUUUUGAUCCUUCGAUGUCGGCUCUUCCUAUCAUACCGAAGCAGAAUUCGGUAAGCGUUGGAUUGUUCACCCACUAAUAGGAACGUGAGCUGGGUUAGACCGUCGUGAGACAGGUUAGUUUUACCCUACUGAUGAUCUCGUCGCAAUGGUAAUUGAGCUUAGUACGAGAGGAACCGCUCAUUCAGAUAAUUGGUUUUGCGGCUGUCCGACCGGGCAGUGCCGCGAAGCUACCAUCUGCCGGAUAAUGGCUGAACGCCUCUAAGUCAGAAUCCGUGCCAGAAAGCGACGACGCCUCCCGCACGUAUAGAUGGACACGAAUAGGCCUCUGGCUUAGCGUCUUAGCAGGCAAAGAACGCCAACGCUCUGGAAACGGGUGUUGGUACUUUGCGAAUUGU
rnacentral:rRNA from 2 species